rnacentral:rRNA from 1 species
UCAAUGGGCGCGAGCCUGAACCAGCCAAGUCGCGUGAGGGAUGACGGUCCUACGGAUUGUAAACCUCUUUUGCCGGGGAGCAAGCGUGCGUUCGUGAACGCGCGUCGAGAGUACCCGGAGAAAAAGCAUCGGCUAACUCCGUGCCAGCAGCCGCGGUAAUACGGAGGAUGCGAGCGUUAUCCGGAUUUAUUGGGUUUAAAGGGUGCGUAGGCGGGAUGCCAAGUCAGCGGUAAAAAUGCGGUGCUCAACGCCGUCGAGCCGUUGAAACUGGCGUUCUUGAGUGGGCGAGAAGUAUGCGGAAUGCGUGGUGUAGCGGUGAAAUGCAUAGAUAUCACGCAGAACUCCGAUUGCGAAGGCAGCAUACCGGCGCCCUACUGACGCUGAGGCACGAAAGCGUGGGUAUCGAGCAGGAUUAGAUACCCUGGUAGUCCACGCAGUAAACGAUGAAUGCUAACUGUCCGGCUCGAAUGAGCGCUGG